rnacentral:rRNA from 1 species
AGUGAACGCUGGCGGUAGACCUAACACAUGCGAGUCGAACGGCAGCACAGUAAGAGCUUGCUCUUACGGGUGGCGAGUGGCGGACGGGUGAGGAAUACAUCGGAAUCUACUUUUUCGUGGGGGAUAACGUAGGGAAACUUACGCUAAUACCGCAUACGACCUACGGGUGAAAGCAGGGGAUCUUCGGACCUUGCGCGAUUGAAUGAGCCGAUGUCGGAUUAGCUAGUUGGCGGGGUAAAGGCCCACCAAGGCGACGAUCCGUAGCUGGUCUGAGAGGAUGAUCAGCCACACUGGAACUGAGACACGGUCCAGACUCCUACGGGAGGCAGCAGUGGGGAAUAUUGGACAAUGGGCGCAAGCCUGAUCCAGCCAUGCCGCGUGGGUGAAGAAGGCCUUCGGGUUGUAAAGCCCUUUUGUUGGGAAAGAAAAGCAGCAGGUUAAUACCCCGCUGUUUUGACGGUACCCAAAGAAUAAGCACCGGCUAACUUCGUG